UGUGGCCUUGUUAGAGUAGGUGUGUCACUGUGGGUAUGGGCUUUAAGACCCUCAUCCUAGCUGCCUGGAAGCCAGUCUUCUAACAGCCUUCAGAUAAAGAUAUAGAACUCUCAGCUCCUCCUGCACCAUGCCUGUCUGGAUGCUGCCAUGCUCCCACCUUGAUUAUAAAUGGACUGAACCUCUGAACUGGUAAGCUACCCCCAGUUAAAUGUCCUUAUAAGAGUUGCCUUGGUUAUUCUUUACAGCAGUAAAACCCUAACUAAGACACUCAUGUACUGAUGAGUGGGGUUAAUGGGAAGGUUACUUUAUUAAGAGUUUUCUAAUGGAAACAUGACUCUGGCCAUCCAUGUCUUUCUCUUGCAGGCUGUGCACAAGACUUAGCGCGGGGCCCAAAGUGCAGGGCCCAAAGCUCUCGCUGUGGCUUUUUCAUCCCACCAUGUGAGUCGAAUUAUCAGAUCAAAGAAUGGCUACAGCUAGUACUGGUGACAGGAGAGAAGGGUCGAAGGCAGGCAGGCAACAGUUAGGGGAAGGGGUAACGGACACCAGGCCCACACAAACCCACAGUCUGUAUUCAGUGUGUAGAGCGUAAAUUAACUGCAGAACCACCUGGCAAGUGAGGCUGUGCUUGGGAGGCCGCAGCUCUUCCUUCGGCCGAUUCUCUGUGUGGGAUAGGACUGUCGAGGGGCUUGUCCUCUCAAAGAUCUUUAGACAGAGGUCUCCCAACCCCACUCUGGAGGGCUCCAAGCUCCCGGGGUCUGGUGGUUGUGGUUGUGGCUACACUCUGCUUACCACAGGAGAUGGUUCUGGAACCGUGCCAGCAGGGAUGUGGCUGGUUUAGCGCUCGGCUUGGUGGCACUGCCACCUACACUGUCCUGCGAGCCUUGGAGCUGCAGUGCUGAUGAACCUUGGGGGGACAUCUAACACAGAAUAACACUCUGGGAGCUCUCCCGUUCUGCAGGGUGAGGACCCUAACCCAUGGGGGUGCUGGAUUUCUGACCAGGAGAGCUGGAGGCAAGGUGUGUUAGAGGCUCUGUGACUCUCAUUCCCAGCUUAGGAAACCAAGACCAGAGAGUGGUUAAGUUAGCACAUGAAAACCAGCCUGGUCUUGAGCGCCCUCCUCUCAGGGGCUAACUCGCUUCUGUUUGAUUAGAUACAUAAAAGCAUAGUUUACUUUUGACUAUAGUCCCAACAGUCAUCCUCUGUGGCCUCCGCAACUGAUCUCUGUGGUUCACUUACUAUCCUGGUCUUCCAGAGUCUCCUUUUUUACUCUCUGGUUUCCAAACCUUCUGGAAGCCCACUCCCGGCCAAAGCAGUGGCUUUUCCUCCAAGAGGGUGUGCGUGGGUGUGCAUCCCAGAGUGUCUCACCCUCCCUUCCAGAUUGUUUCCUCCAUCCUUUUCUCCUUUAUGAGUUUGUCCGUGUGUGUGUGUGUGUGUGUGUGUGUGUGUGUGUGUGUGUGUAGGCCUGAGGUUAAUGUCAGGAACUUUCCUCAAUCAUUCUUCAAUCUUAUUUUUUGAGGCAGAGUCUCUCAUUCAAAUCCAGAGCUCAUAGACAUCACUAGGCUCAUAGGCAGCUUGCUGGGGAACAUCCCUUACCUCUGCCUUUUGAGACUGAGGCUGGAACUGCUUAAAGGCCACCACGCUAGGGGAGCAUCUGUGUGGAUUCUGAUGAUCGGAACUCGGGUCCUAUUGCUUGGAUACCAAAUGUGUUGGCUGCUGGCCCAUUUCCCCAUCCCUCGCUCGGUCUUUGUAAGCUUCCGUUACAUCCCUUACUCUGGUGAUUUGAAUUUAAUGUCCUUACCCCUGAGCCCUGUCAGGCACAGCCAACCAGCAAAGAACUCUGGACUUAGACAGCAAAAACAGAGGUGCUGAUGCCGGCUGCUUUUGCCACAGACUGCUGAGUGUCUCCCGACUCCCGAACCUCGAGAGAGCUGGCAGUGCCCUGCGUGUAUGAAUCAGUAGCACAGAGCGGGAACGGACUACUCUUUAAGAAGUGAUUUUCACAGCCAGCCAGCCAGUUCGUGCGACACUGGAGUGAAAAGUGCAUUUACCACGGCAAACUGAAGGUACUGCACGUGACACUAAGUUCCCAACCCACGGGCAAACAAACACGUCAGAAGCCAUGCCUCCGACCCUUCUCACUGUGGGUCCUUCUCCUUUCCUGAGGUAAAGCCCUCUCCGGGAGCCAGCCUCAGCAGGGGGAUGAUUAGCAGAUGAAACCGUGGGACAUCUGGGCACCAGUGUCUAAACGUGUAAGCUAGUCUACACAAGAGACACAGGAGUGGCCCACGGAAGAACGCUGAAUUUAACGCUUCCUUUCUCUUUGAACAGAUUUUUGAAAACUCUCAAGCGUGAGGGGAAAGGCGUCAGGAUUAUGUGAACUAUUUAUUCUUAGCUGUGACUACGGACAGCGAUAAACUGUAAUUUUACCACCUCUUCAUAGCCAGCAACCAUAAGCUUUUCCUUCAGUUAAAUCAAAUGGAGGGCGGUUGCCAAAAGUAAGAGGCAGCCUGCUGGAUCCCUCUUGAUAGCUGAAGCGACUCGUCCAACCUUCACAGUCUCUUUCUCUUGAAGCCAAACAGCAGACAGGCUGCUGAGGGGACUGGGAGUGCGAUAAAUGACAUGUUUCUUCUCUCAAAUAGCAGAGUGUCGAAGAUGAGCCCAAAGGAGUUCAAGAGACUCCAGAGAAGAGGCUUCAGCUCAGCCAGGCGCAGUAGCUACUCGUGCCCAUUGUCUGUUUGUGCUGUCCUGAAGGACCUUGCUAUCCCCUUCCCACAGACCCCCUGCAGUAGACCAUGACCCACGGAAAAGACCACCCGGCACACCCUUAGCCUCUCUGCUGUAUUCUUUUCCUUCUGCGUUCUUUUGUUCUGACUUGAAUAUUUUCUCCUGAUCUAUUUUAAGUUCUCGGUCUCACCGUGCCUUUGUCUGACAAUUUCUUAUCGCUGUACUGCAUUAGACUCUUCCUUGGGUUUUCCAUCUCUACGCCAAGAUUCUCCGUCAGUUGGAGCGUGCCACUCGUGUCUCUACUGAAUUCUUUUACAUGUCAGUCAUCUUGGUCUUCUCUGAGUCUGCUCCUGUUGACUGCUUUGUCUCUUGACCACGGUUGGUUUGCGUUUCGUCCUAAGUGUGUGUUACGUUAACGAUUAUUAAUUGGCUACAGGUGCCAUGCAUAAGAGCAGGGGACAUGGAAGCACUUAUCUAUCAUUUCUGGCUGGAAACAGAUUUGGUUCAUCUGUGCCUUGGUAGGUGGGAGUUAGGUGCUAUGGUGGUUUGAAUGUGCGUGGCCCCCAUGGGCUCAUGUGUUUGAAUGCUUGGCUCAUGGGGAGUGGCACUAUUAGGAGCUAUGCCCUUGUUGGAGUGGGCGUGGCCUCGUCGAAGGAAGUGUGCCACUGUGGGGGUGGGCUUUGAGGUCUCUGUGAUCAAUCAAGGCCCAGUGUGAGCCACUCUCCUCCUUCCAGCUGCAGAAUAAGAUGUAGAACUCUUAGCUUCUUCUUCAGUACUAUGUCUGUUUGGAUGUUGCCAUGUCUCCUGCCAUGAUAAUAAUGGGCUAAAUGUGUGAAACUGUAAGCCAGCCUGAAUUCAAUGCUUUCCUUUGUGAGAGUUGACUUGGUCAAGGUGUACCUUCAAGGCAACGGAACCCUGAUCAAAACAGGAGCUUACCUGGGUUUGAGUCUUAUUAUAUUUGGUCUGUCAGCCUCCACACUCCUCUCAAAGGAGGCUGCAGUCAUCAUGAGUUUGAUGUAGGGGUUAGGGUCCCAGAAGUGUUUCAGUGUUCCUGAUCUCCCAGCUUCCAACUCUUCUAGGUACCUAUGCCUCAGGUGAACUUAUUUCUCUGUCUUGCUUCUCUCCUGGUGACAAUGUGUUCUUCCUGGUGACACAGACUGGUAGUGGUAAGCAAAUUCCAUUAUGGUCCAGCUUCAGUCUUAGACAGGCUCUGUGUGUCUGCACCUCAAGGGUAGGGUCCUUUAUUUGCCUUGUCUGUCCUGGGCCUGAAUGGGUAUUCCUCGCAUGUCCUUAUAUCCUCUAGCAGAGGGAGAGACCUGCUUGUUACUGGGGCAGGAAACCUGGACCUAGGACAGUUGCUGGCCUCCCCAGGAUCACAGGAUAUGCAGAGGUGCUGAUGCAAACCAAGCUGACACAAGUAAGCCUCUGUCCCUCGGCAGAAGCAGUCGGCUUCUACUCCUCCUCGGAAGAACGGCGUCUAUAUGCAAUCUGGAGUGUGGGGGCAGGUCCGUUUGGAAUCAAUAGAGGAUUCCUGGGAACCUGCAAGUCUCUUCCUCUGCCGCCUUCCACUAAUCACACAGAACACUCAAGGCCUAGGGGGCUUCUCUGUGGUAUCCAGUAUUUCCCAUGAGCACUCAGUUAAGGCAUGGUGUUAACAGUUUGCUGUAGACACUGUGACCUCUAAGAGUUGUCAGGGUUUUGCCUUGCAGGGGUAACUGCUUCUGCAUGUUCUCUAAGUGGAGAUGGUGCCUAUGGAUUCCUCUCUGGAAUCCAGGUUACUUAGCUGCUGUUACUCCCUUGGCUCUCAGCUGAUUUCAAGAGGAUUUGUAAUAUUGUGGGUUAUCUGUUCUGUUUCCACACAAUUAGGGCAAAAACAAUGCCUUCUGAAGCUUCCACCCCCCCCCCCACACACACACACUUCUUGUCUGGAGUCUUCAAGACCCCGGGACUUCAUACAUUUUCCUGACACAAUGACCUUGAAGAGAUGGUCUCUUUGAAGGGCACAAAUGUUCACAGUAUCUUCACAGCAGCUUUCUUCUUGUCUCCUUGGACCCCCCCCCCAUUUGAGUAAAAAUGUUCACUUUAGAUCACUCUUCUGAGAAGCAGUGUCUGGUGGAGGAGGAACGUCCAGUGAGCCUGUGUGCAGCUGCUCCCAACGGUUCUUAAGAUAUUCUCAAGUCACAUUCUGCCCGCAUGACUUAACUUGGAGUAUUUUCUUGUACCAACUGUGAGGGAGGGAUUCCAUUGGCAGGAACAUGAUUCCUGACAUUUGUUCUCAGUAAACUGUUCCUCUGUUUAGCUGCUCUGAUUGCCCCAAUUACACUAAUUGACUUCCAAAUGUACAAAUACAGUUGACAUGUCACCAGAAACUUAGCACUUAUCCAGUCAGGAGCAGAAGGGAGGCUUCAGGCAGUAAGCACCUGGUGUCCCGAGGUUCCACAGCUCACGGGGAGUGGAAGGGAUACCUCAGAGGCUGAUGCUGAUGGUUCCAGAACACUCGGCCCUCAUGCCUCCUGUUCGCUCAUUUCACCCCGUCGAGGAGCACAGAGCCUCAGAUGUCGUCCUCUGACCAAUGGCCCACAGCUCCCACCUCAAAGUUUGUCUUGAUUAUGGUCACUAUUGCUGUGCUGAAACACCGUGACCAAAAGCAACUUGGGGAGGAAAGGGUUUAUGAGCUUUAUACCUACACAUCACUGUUCAUCACUGAAGGAAGUCAGGGCAAGAACUCAACAGAGCAUCCCUCUUUCAAAAUGACCGUACCGGUUUUAAGAAGACGCAAAACUAUCCAGGACACAAAGCAACAACAAAAAGGAGGAAUCAGGUAGCAAUUGUACUCCUGAUGUGGUCGGGAUGACGCCACGGAGCUUAUGCACUUCGGUUUCUGUUUAGAAUCCCCUUCACCUUUGCAGGUCUUGGCUGAGAAUGAGGGCCAGAGGUGCAGCAGUGGGAAGGGGAGUAUCUAAUUUCCACCGAUCAGAGUAGAAGCCAAGGACCAUCUGGGAAGUGACCAGCACAGCGGCCACUGGUCGGGGGAGCCAGUGAGAACACAGGGAACUCAGGGUGAACCUGGGGUGACUGAGGCAGGAAGUGAGGGAAGCCUGAACUGGAUGACAAAGACACCAUGAAGUCGAGUAAGGGAUACCCCUCAUCACAACUUGGAUUUUUAACCAGACGACCAUCACUGAGGUUCAAACCACUGACUGGAGCAGGGUUAAAAGAGUGAGGCAGGCAAAGCAGGAGGAGCUGCUCCACCCCAGGCGUUCCUGUCACCUAAGGCCAAGCGUACACCUAGGAACAAGAAGGGAGGGUGAGAAGGUGGGGCGGGAGAGAGGAGAGACCAACAGAAGGGAAGGGAGGGUAUGCAGAGGGGCAGGUGGACUCUCGGUAAAAUGUUGCCUUGGACACACAUGGGAGCCAGGUGGGUGGUCUCUUACUCGUGCCUUGUACAGACUGGAACGUCUAGAGACAACAGAAUGUCAUAGAUGGGUAGGAAGGUCAACAGAUAGGAAGGCAGGGGAAAGCAGUCAGAAAGCAAGCAGAGGGGAAGCGGGGGUCCUUUGCACUGUCCUUACAGUACAGUCUCUGUCGAUAUGAAACAAUUGCAGCUUGAAAGAAGACAGGAGGGAGGAAUGGAGGCAAAGGUUUAGAAAGUGUGAAGGAGGCAGCUCUAAGUUCUGAUUAAUGGACUGGGGCUAAGCUAGGUUUUCUGCAAAGCCCUAGCGGAAGGAGUGGUGCCCUAGUGGGCGACCUCACCCACCCAGUCUGUCUGCAGGACCCGUGAAGAGCAGCCUGGAGCAGGGUUCUGGUGCUCUCCGGUAAGUAUAUAACCUGCCCUGCGUGCCAUCGAAUCAUGCCAAGGGAACAGGCUCGACCUCACACGGAUGCCUGCUGAUAAGGGCCUGCCGCCUGCCAUCUUUUCUACUUUAGAGGGUUUAUGCCUCUGCAGAGACCACUUGGUGGGGAGAGUCUGUUAAAAAUAUUCCAUCCUGCCAUUUAAUGACUCAGGAGGCAGAUGGAGCUGAACAACUGUCAGGGUUGGGAGGGGGUUAUCCUUCCCUCCUCUGUAAAGCCUGCAUUCCUCUAGAGAGAGGGACAGUUGAGGAGUGGAGGGAUCCAGGAGGACUGUACCAACGGAGAGAGGGAGGCAGAGCGACAGGAACGAGCUGGUUCCGAGCAUUCUCCCUUCUUCGCCUUAUUACAAUCUAAAUCCAGUUUCCUUCCCAGGUAGCUCUUAAGGAUCACGAUUUAGUCAUACUCAGGAGGAGGGGCGGCAGGGGCUGUCAUCUGUUUCAUUAUCUUAAAGCUAAAACGGACUGCAGCAGUCUCUCAGCCCGGAGGCCAAUCGACCUCCGAUCACCUUCCCUCUGCUGUGUGGCUGCUCAAAAGCUCGCACUGGCCUCCGUGCUCCAAAAUCCCACAGCUCAGCAACAAACCCACCGCUGAGGUUUCAGGGCCCUCGGGAGUGGAGGGGGAGGACGUUCGAGUUCAAGUUAAUGAGAGAACGGGCUCUGGAAUUGAGCUCAGCGGGCUAAGAAUAUCUCCCAUGUACUAGAAAGAUUCCACGUCCGAGAUCUUGAGAUUCCUUUUUUUAAAAAAUCAAGAGAACCAGACCUCCCGAGGAAGGGCAGUAGGAUUAGAGGGGAAAGUCCGGUCUUACCAUUCAUCUCUCUAUCCCAGUAGUGCACAUCUCGAAAAUGGUGACCUGCCUAUCAUCCCGGUAUAGGAACUGAGCAAUCGACAUCCGCAGGAAACACUUUGGAAAAGUGUGACGGUCUUCCUACCACACUGCCAACAGUGGUGCACACGGCGGGGGAGGGGAGACUUUCAGAUGCUGUGCCUCUCUGUACAGUUUUGGUUUGUAAGCAAAGUGUGCAUCCAUCGUGCUGUUAAAUUGUAAAAACCGGGGGCUGGGGAUUUAGCUCAGUGGUAGAGCGCUUACCUAGGAAGCGCAAGGCCCUGGGUUCGGUCCCCAGCUCCGGAAAAAAAAGAACCAAAAAAAAAAAAUUGUAAAAACCGAAACUAAAAUCGGAGACAUGCUUCUAUGCAGCCUACGACCGUACCACCUGAACAUGUCCUAGGUCAAAAGCUGAGCAGGGCUCAGCCUGGCCAGUUUACGGAUGGAGAGGCAUGCCUGUGAACAAUGAAGAAAGGAUCAAGUUCGCCACCAAGUAUUAAGAAUUCCAGGUUAGUAGCUCAGUGGUAGAGCGCUUGCCUAGCAUGCGCGAGGCCCUGGGUUCGGUCCCCAGC